rnacentral:ribozyme from 13 species
GAUGAAGAAGAAAUAGAAGAAGAAGAGACAAAAACAGAAUCAGAGUCGAUUUCAGAUUCGUCAAGAUCUUCUUCCGUGGUUGAUUCUUCUUCUUUUCUUUUUUCCAUUCCUUCGAUGAGUGGUGCUAAUUUACAUGCAACUUCUCUUCGAAUUUGAAGAGAAGUUUGAG